GUGCCAGCCGCCGCGGUAAUACCGGCAGCUCAAGUGAUGUCCAAUAUUAUUGGGCCUAAAGCGUCCGUAGCUGGCUACAUAAGUUCGUCGGGAAAUCCACCUGCCCAACAGGUGGGCGUCCGGCGAAAACUGUGUGGCUUGGAACCGGAAGGCUCAGAGAGUACGUCCGGGGUAGGAGUGAAAUCCCGUAAUCCCGAACGGACGACCGAUGGCGAAAGCACUCUGAGAAGACGGAUUCGACAGUGAGGGACGAAAGCUAGGGUCUCGAACCGGAUUAGAUACCCCAGUAGUCC
rnacentral:rRNA from 1 species